UACGUGGGUGGCAAGCGUUGUCCGGAUUUACUGGGCGUAAAGAGCGCGCAGGCGGUCGUGCAAGUCGCGUGUGAAAGCCCCCGGCUCAACUGGGAGGGUCACGCGAUACUGUUCGACUCGAAGGCAGGAGAGGGAAGUGGAAUUCCCGGUGUAGUGGUGAAAUGCGUAGAUAUCGGGAGGAACACCAGUGGCGAAGGCGACUUCCUGGCCUGUUCUUGACGCUGAGGCGCGAAAGCUAGGGUAGCAAACGGG
rnacentral:rRNA from 1 species